rnacentral:ncRNA from 2 species
AGUUUGACAUAUCUGCCAGGUGCCGCCGAAAUUCGGCGGUGAAAAGGGAAUACGGUGCAAAUCCGUAACGUUGGGCCAGCGCUGUAAGCGGGGACGACGGCUGCAGGAUGCCACUGUUCCGGUUGGGAACGGGAAGGUGCAGUCGGAGGACGAUCCGCAAGUCAGAAGACCUGCCUGGGAGAACAGACUUCU